rnacentral:rRNA from 1 species
UUUCCUACGGGACGCAGCAGUGGGGAAUCUUCCGCAAUGGGCGCAAGCCUGACGGAGCAAUGCCGCGUGAACGAAGAAGGUCUUCGGAUUGUAAAGUUCUGUCCUUAUCGAAGAGAGGGUAUAGUGUGAAAAAUGAUAUACUAGGACGGUAGAUGAGGAGGAAGCCCCGGCUAACUACGUGCCAGCAGCCGCGGUAAUACGAAGGGGGCGAGCGUUGUCCGGAAUCACUGGGCGUAAAGGGCGCGUAGCCGGUACUAUAAGACAGAUGUGAAAGGUGGGGGCUCAACCCCUUGAGU